AUGCCUUGCUUCCUUCCUUCUUUCUUUUGUUUUCUUUUGUGUUGGAGGAAGGAUUUCUUCUUUGAUACAAUAACAUGAUAAUCUAUUGAGUUGGAUAAGGAAUAUUUUCUUUGGCACAAUGGCUUGAUAAUUCUAUAUAUAUAGUAGAAGUUAUAAAUGGUUUUCAUAUGAACUUAGCCUUAAAAAAUUCGAUACAAAAAAUAACUUGGAAGCUUCUCAAGGUGUGUUUUGAAGCCAAAAUUGGAUUCUUCUUGUUAAGAUAGAUUAGAUGGGGCAGCAGCAGCAACUUCAACAUUUUAUCCAUCCGAACCAUCCCUUGCUCUUCAAUCCAGACGACAGACGUGGAUAUUCUUGUUGGGGGUGCGACGAAUCAGUUUAUGGUCCUACCUAUAGCUGUAAAGAAUGUGGUGGGGGGUACAGUCAUCAUAAAUCAUGUACGGAACUACCCCUUAAGUUGCACCAUCCCUUGCACCCUAUCCAUCCUCUUAUUCUCUUUCCCCCAUGGAGAUACCGGGAAAAUUACAAAUGCGAACUUUGCAAAGCAUAUAAAGCUGAAUACACUUAUCGGUGUUCCCGCUGCGACUUCAACCUUCACAUCACAUGCGCUUCUUUAGCGCCCACCACCAUGGAACCUGAAUUCCACUACCACCCAUUGACCUCCGUUUGGAAGUGGAUCACCUUCACUUGUGACAUUUGUGGCAAAAAAGACGAAUGUACACCCUAUUUGUGUAAUCCAUGCAGUUUCUGGAUUCAUGGAAGAUGUUCUCUUUUCCCACGCAAAGUCAAAGUUGUGCAUCACAAGCACCUCCUCCACCUCAUCCAUUCUUCUCUUGAAUUCCAUCAAUCCGACUCUCAAUUUUGUCAAAUCUGUGUUCAAGAGGUGGACACAUGCUACGGGCUUUACUAUUGCUCCAGAUGUGAUUUUGUUGCCCACUUAAAUUGUGCUAUGGGAAACAAGGAGAACAUAAAUUUGCAAGAAUUUAAAGAUGAGGAUGAAGUUUCAGAGCUCAAUGAAUUGGUUGACUCAACUUACAAAGUCAAAAAAUACAAUAUGAGGGAGGGUGGAAUUCAAAUAGCUGCAGAAAUCAAACACUUCAGUCAUGAGCAUGACUUAAUGCUUACCGAGUAGCUUCUAAAAACCCAAAAAUGCGAUGGGUGCGUAAGAGCCAUUGUCCCUCCGUUUUAUAGUUGUGUAAAGUGUAGCUUCUUUCUUCAUGAAUCUUGUGCUAAUUUACCAAAAAAAAAGCAACACCCACUUCAUCAACACCCACUAUCCCUGCUCCCAAUGAAACCAAGUAAGGAUUUUAGGUGUUAUGCCUGUCAUCGUAAAUGCAAUGGCUUCACCUAUUUGUGUGAGACAUGCCGUUUUAGACUUGAUGUUCAAUGUAGUAUGAUCUCAGAAAUCCUUAACCCCCCUGGUCAUGAUCACACACUUAUUCUCUCCGGUGUUGAAUCUUCUCAGAAUUGCAGCUGUUGUGAUUUUAGAACUUACCCAAUAUUCCGUUGUACCACUUGUGCAUUUGCUUUGGACUUUAGAUGUGCUACACUACCACAUUCUAUAAGAUACAAACAACAUGAGCAUCCCUUUGCUCUCAGUUGUGGAGUUGAAAAUAACUCUGGUGAAUAUUAUUGUAAUAUAUGUGAAGAAAAACGAGACUCAAAGUAUUGGUUUUACUACUGUGAGGAUUGCAGUUAUCUUGCUCAUCCAAAAUGUAUUAUUGGGAAAUACCCAAAUUAUAAGUUUGGAGGUACUUACACAUUUGACUGUCACUCACACCCUCUUACUUUCAUUGAGGAAACUGAGGACCGCCCUCGAUGUAACAAAUGUAAUGAUACUUGUGAAAAGUUGAUCUAUCAAUGUGCUUACUGUAAUUUCUACAUCCACAAGAGUUGUUUAUAAAAAGGACAAAUGUGUUUUUAUUUUAUACUAGAUCUAGUCCACGUAAGUUUUGGUGCAUGGAAUUCAUCAAAUGACAUUGCAGUAAUUCUUUUCAAUGCUCUUUCUUGGCAUCAUGGUUCAAAUACAAUGUAAAUACAUUGUACCAACUCAUGCUUGUUUGUGUCUGGUUGUACCCUGCCUUGUCCACUUUUGUUAGAAACAAUAAGCUUGCUGAUAAUAGGACUUUUCAGUUUUCAAUGUUUUAUGGUAUUACAUUGUUUAGAAAUGGAAGUUGGAUUUCAGUGUGGAACAUAAAGUUCAGGGUUGAUGAACAAAUACUGGAAAUAAAAGGCAAGCUUCCGGUAUCUCUUAUCGGUUGUGUAUGACUACUUUUCCCUAUAUUUUCUAUUUCUAUGCAAUUCCAAUUGCAUUCAUUUUUCUUGAGCUCACAUUAAUUGUCUAUGUCUUCUUCUUCUGCAUUAGGUGAGCAUCCAUUAUUUUGAAGAGGGAAAUGAGCAAUUA